GCAAUUAACUCUUCUCGACCCGGCUUCUUUCCUCUCUCUCCCGUUCACUUUCCCCUUUUCGACCCACUGUUCCCGCGUGUUCUGCUCGCAUCGCCUUCUUCCGCCCCAAUCUGCUUGCUUUCACGAUGACCUUCGCCGUCGAUCAUGCGUAUGGCUGAGAUCUAGGUUGCCCUCUGUUUUCUUGACGUGGUAUUGAUUCUUGAGUUUUACUGAACGUGGUCUGCUGGUGCUCAACUGUGCGUCCUUCUUCCACCGUUCAUCGACCGUCUGCUGCUACUCAUUCUUAGCAGAGGUCUACCAGGUCCAGAAUAUCAUCUUGGCUCGAUCCUGCCCUGUACUGUGCUUAGUGCUCCUAUCAAGGAUGUGUGUUGUUGUUUACUUCGUCGUUCCUGUUUUAGAGACUCUUGCAGCUCGUUGUGCUUUGCCGACCUUGUUUUACUUGUAUGAGGUGACUGAGGACGGCUCUGUUUUGGCUGGGGUAGAGCUUGAGCUUCCUUUGGAAGGCGUCGGCGCGGUGUCACGGAGGCAGUUCUUUUGGAGCACAGCCUGGCGUGGCUGCGUUGGCGCUUACGAUCACGCUGCUGUGCAGGCCAUCAAUUGAGACUACAACUAUGAAUGCAUGAUGGCGUAUAGGGAAUCCAUGCGUUCUGCUGUUCUUGUCGCUGUGCAUGCUGCUCGGCACGCCGGGAGAUUGGAGAGAGAGGUUUCUGUAGGGCCAGGGUUAUUUACCUCGCCUCCUGUUGAGCGGGGAACGUUAGAUUGGAAUUUAUCGUGCUCUCAGCUUAUGGCAUCCAUGCGUAAUGUGUAGAUUUUGUAAUUGAUUCUUGUACUGAAACUAGGCUGCUUACUGUUUGAGAGCUUUGUAUAACGAGAUGUGGUUUAUAGUGAGAUUAUUGCGUAGUCGGGUGUGCUGUUCUCUGUA